rnacentral:rRNA from 1 species
CCUACGGGAGGCAGCAGUAGGGAAUCUUCCACAAUGGACGAAAGUCUGAUGGAGCAACGCCGCGUGAGCGAAGAAGGUUUUCGGAUCGUAAAGCUCUGUUGCGAGGGAAGAACAAGUACGGGAGUAACUGCCCGUACCUUGACGGUACCUCGUUAGAAAGCCACGGCUAACUACGUGCCAGCAGCCGCGGUAAUACGUAGGUGGCAAGCGUUGUCCGGAAUUAUUGGGCGUAAAGCGCGCGCAGGCGGUCCUUUAAGUCUGAUGUGAAAGCCCACGGCUCAACCGUGGAGGGUCAUUGGAAACUGGAGGACUUGAGUACAGAAGAGGAAAGCGGAAUUCCACGUGUAGCGGUGAAAUGCGUAGAGAUGUGGAGGAACACCAGUGGCGAAGGCGGCUUUCUGGUCUGUAACUGACGCUGAGGCGCGAAAGCGUGGGGAGCAAACAGGAUUAGAUACCCUGGUAGUCCACGCCGUAAACGAUGAGUGCUAAGUGUUAGGGGGUUUCCGCCCCUUAGUGCUGCAGCUAACGCAUUAAGCACUCCGCCUGGGGAGUACGGCCGCAAGGCUGAAACUCAAAGGAAUUGACGGA